rnacentral:rRNA from 1 species
UAUUGCACAAUGGAGGAAACUCUGAUGCAGUGACACCGCGUAUAGGAAGAAGGUUUUCGGAUUGUAAACUAUUUUAGACAGGGAAGAAAAAAGACAGUACCUGUAGAAUAAGCUCCGGCUGAAUACGUGCCAGCAGCCGCGGUAAUACGUAUGGAGCAAGCGUUAUCCGGAUUUACUGGGUGUAAAGGGAGCGUAGGCGGCCUGGCAAGUCUGGUGUGAAAUACCGGGGCCCAACCCCGGGACUGCAUUGGAAACUGCCAGGCUGGAGUGUCGGAGGGGCAGGCGGAAUUCCUAGUGUAGCGGUGAAAUGCGUAGAUAUUAGGAGGAACACCGGUGGCGAAGGCGGCCUGCUGGACGACAACUGACGCUGAGGCUCGAAAGCGUGGGGAGCAAACAGG